rnacentral:ncRNA from 1 species
CAAAAUGCAGUGAAAGAGAAUAGUAAACAGUCGAAGGUUUAUAGAGAGCCAAUGGUAGGUGGAAAUUGGUACUGAAGAUUGUUGAAUCCACUCCAAAGCAGACGGGGAAUAUGAACCCGCUCCGGUUAAUACCGUUAUCUACUAAGAGGUCAUGAUAUUGUGACAAAAAAAGGUGGUACCACGUGAGUUAAUAAAGCUCUCGUCCUUGGC